GGGUCGGUGUCCGAGUGGUUAAUGGAGGCGGACUGUAAAUCCGCUGGCUUUACGCCUUCGCAGGUUCGAAUCCUGCCCGGCCCA
rnacentral:tRNA from 1 species